rnacentral:rRNA from 1 species
GCCAUCCAGCCGGAGCAGCUGUGGUGCUAUCAUGAGCGGAGGAUGUGGAGGAGGAGAGAGAGAGGAUGAGAAAAAGAAGGGGACGGGCCGGACCGGACCCCCUGUGGGGCUUGACUCGGCGCCCGCCGGAGGAUAACCAAACGCUAUUUUAACGACGUUUCUUCUGAGUGGCAUAAGCAAAAUAAUCAAAACUUUUAACAACGGAUCUCUUGGUUCUGGCAUCGAUGAAGAACGCAGCGAAAUGCGAUAAGUAAUGUGAAUUGCAGAAUUCAGUGAAUCAUCGAAUCUUUGAACGCACAUUGCGCCCGCCAGCAUUCUGGCGGGCAUGCCUGUUCGAGCGUCAUUUCAACCCUCAAGCUCUGCUUGGUGUUGGGGCUCUACGGUCGACGUAGGCCCUCAAAGGUAGUGGCGGACCCUCCCGGAGCCUCCUUUGCGUAGUAACAUUUCGUCUCGCACUGGGAUCCGGAGGGACUCUUGCCGUAAAACCCCCCAAUUUUUCAAGGUUGACCUCGGAUCAGGUAGGAAUACCCGCUGAACUUAAGCAUAUCAAUAAGCGGAGGAAGUU